UUUCGGCUGGAUGGCUGGCUGGCUGCUGUCCAGUGGGAAUAUAUGGAGAGACGUUAAUAUUUAGAGAUGAAUAUUUUCAUGCAACUUCAGAAGAUGAAGGAUGUUGUGCAGAUUCCAUUUUGAGUCUAUUUUGAGUAGAUUUAAUUCAAAACGUGCCUAGUGGGAAUGGAAUUUGUAUUCAAAGUGCAGAUUCAAUCCAUUUUGAAUCGAUUUGAACACUUUUCCAAACGUUAAAGGAGCGUGUGUAGAUUUAAUUCAAAACGUUCCCCAAGGGCACCCAAAGGAGCGUGUCCAGAUGCAAUUCAGAACGUGCCCUAACGGCACUCAAAGGAGCGUGUCCAGAUUCAAUUCAGAACAUUCCCUAACGGCGCCCAAAUUAUAGUGCAAUGGCCGUUGUAAAAAACAGUGACCGUUGAAAAAAAUCAGGAUUAAAUUUCUUAUAAAUGGGCGGUAUACUUGAGAAGCAGGACAGAUUUCCCGUUCUGUUUUCUUUUUGGUUUGAUAUAUUUUCCAUUGUAUGUUUUUGGCGUGGCCAUGCCUAUUUUUGAAUUUUGCUUUCCUGAAUUUUGGUUUUGAAUUUUUAUAGUUUUUUGGUAUUUCGUGUAUCUUCUUUUUUCUGUGGGUUGUCAGUUUUUAAUGGGCAUGGAGUAGUCAGCAGCAAGAAAUCUACGUUCUGGAGUGGCUGAUUGGAGAUGUGGCCAGAAAAUAGACAGAGCCAGAGGUGAUUGACUUUGCUUGACUAUCUUGGUCACCUUGUUGUCGAGGUUCUAUCAUCCAUGCACGGUCAGAAUUCAUGUUUCUUGUAUAUGGGCUUUCAUGUUCUUAUAAAUGUAUUGGGUUUUUAUAUUGGUCUCUCUAUUUUCUUAAAUCUAUUGGGAUUUCUAUUUUGCAAUGCUCUUUUUACAUGACUUGAGGUAGUUUUUUAUUCUUUUGUGUUUUCAAUAUUGCUCGGUGCUUAAAUCAUUGGUAUGUCAUCAUCAUUUUAAUUGAUUCUUAUACAUUCUCAAAACCCUCAACAUAAUUAUAUUACUCUAUUUCUUUUGUUUUGAAGCAAUAUGAGUUGUACCUUGACUAUACUUCCAUUUUGUGUGUAUGUGGACUUUGUUAUCUCUGUGUAAUAGAGGGCUUGUGUGCACCAAUGGCGUGUCACCCUUUUUAUUUUAUUUUUACAGUUUGCAUGUAUACAACUUCUGAUGGAUUUCUUGUCCCUUGCGUUUUGCACCUAUCUCUUUUUAAACAAAUAGUUUGCAUAACUUAUGUAUGCAUUUUACAUACAUGGUUACCAACAGACAAGAUCUGUAGAAACAAUAUCAUAGAAAAUGAUUGUCUAUUUGAGGAUGGCUUUUUGCAGGUAGACUUCAAAUGACUACCUAUCUUAUUUAUGCAUUUGGCAUGGAUGAAACAUUUGUAAUUUUAACAUCUGAAAAACUGAUUCUGUUUGAGGAUGGCUUUUUUUAAGUAGACUUCAAAUGA